GACGAAGGUGGCGAGCGUUGUUCGGAAUCACUGGGCAUAAAGCGCACGUAGGCGGCGACGUAAGUUGGGUGUGAAAUCCCCCGGCCCAACCGGGGAACUGCGCCCAGUACUGCGUUGCUUGAGGAUCCAAGGGGUGCAUGGAAUUCCCGGUGGAGCGGUGAAAUGCGUUGAUAUCGGGAGGAACUCCGGCGGCGAAAGCGGUGCACUGGUGGAUUACUGACGCUGAGGUGCGAAAGCUAGGGGAGCGAACAGG
rnacentral:rRNA from 1 species